rnacentral:sRNA from 1 species
AGAACAAGUGUGUUUUUUUUUUUUUUUUUUUUUUUUUUUUUGCUAUUAUGACUAUGAAAGCAGUUCAAUUUGCGUGUUUUUUUUUGUUUGUUUGUUUUUUGUUUUUUUUUGCUUAUUUAAACAUGCUUUGAUCUUUAGAGUCUAAAAUCUAACCUUGGAAAUGUUUUGCUGCAUUAUGUUCAUCCCAUUUUUAAAACACAAAACAAUUUUAGGUGUCUGUAACCCUCGAGACCUUUCAAGAUCUGUCCUUGCCAAUUCCUGGCAAGGAAGACCUUGCUAAGCUGCAUUCAUCAAGUCAUCCAACUUCUAUAGUCAAAGCAGGAUCAUGUGGCGAAGCAUAUGCUCCACAAGGGUGGAUAGCUUUUUUCAUGGAAUAUGUGAAGAGGUUUGUUGUCUCAUGUGUCCCUAGCUGGUUUUGGGGUCCAGUAGUAACCUUGCAAGAUUGUCUUGCUGCCUUCUUUGCCAGAGAUGAACUAAAAGGUGACAAUAUGUACAGUUGUGAAAAAUGCAAAAAGUUGAGAAAUGGAGUGAAGUUUUGUAAAGUACAAAAGUUUCCUGAGAUUUUAUGCAUCCACCUUAAAAGAUUCAGACAUGAACUAAUGUUUUCCACCAAAAUCAGUACCCAUGUUUCAUUUCCGCUAGAAGGCUUGGAUCUUCAGCCAUUUCUUGCUAAGGAUAGUCCAGCUCAAAUUGUGACAUAUGAUCUUCUGUCAGUCAUUUGCCAUCAUGGAACUGCAAGUAGUAAGUAUAUAGGUUUAACAAUUGUUCCUAGAUUAAAAAAAAAUUAAAAUAAGCCUGGGCGUGGUGGCUCAUACCUGUAAUACCAGCCUUUUGGGAGAAUGAGGUGGGAGAAUCACUUAAUUAAAGCCAGGAGUUUGAGACCAGCCUGGGCAGCACAGUGAAACCCCAUCUCUACAAAAUAAAUAAAUAAACAUCCUAAUUAAUCUUUUAAAUAAUAUCUG